CCUACGGGAGGCAGCAGUCGAGAAUCAUUCACAAUGUGGGAAACCCUGAUGGUGCGACGCCGCGUGGGGGAAUGAAGGUCUUCGGAUUGUAAACCCCUGUCAUGUGGGAGCAAAUUAAAAAGAUAGUACCACAAGAGGAAGAGACGGCUAACUCUGUGCCAGCAGCCGCGGGAAUACAGAGGUCUCAAGCGUUGUUCGGAAUCACUGGGCGUAAAGCGUGCGUAGGCUGUUUCGUAAGUCGUGUGUGAAAGGCGCGGGCUCAACCCGCGGACGGCACAUGAUACUGCGAGACUAGAAUAAUGGAGGGGGAACCGGAAUUCUCGGUGUAGCAGUGAAAUGCGUAGAUAUCGAGAGGAACACUCGUGGCGAAGGCGGGUUCCUGGACAUUAACUGACGCUGAGGCACGAAGGCCAGGGGAGCGAAAGGGAUUAGAUACCCCAGUAGUC
rnacentral:rRNA from 1 species